rnacentral:rRNA from 1 species
AUCAACUUUCGAUGGUAGGAUAGAGGCCUACCAUGGUGGUAACGGGUAACGGGGUGUUAGGGCACGACACCGGAGAGGGAGCCUGAGAAACGGCUACCACAUCCAAGGAUGGCAGCAGGCGCGCAAAUUACCCAAUCCCGACACGGGGAGGUAGUGACAAUAAAUAACAAUACGGGGUCCUUUCGGGUUUCGUAAUUGGAAUGAGUACAAUUUAAAUCUCUUAACGAGGAACAAUUGGAGGGCAAGUCUGGUGCCAGCAGCCGCGGUAAUUCCAGCUCCAAUAGCGUAUAUUAAAGUUGUUGCAGUUAAAAAGCUCGUAGUUGAAUUUCGGGAUCAGUACGCUGGUCGUGCCUUCGGUAUGCACUGGUGUCACUGGUUCCUCCCUUCUGAAGAACUGUCAUGCCAUUCAGUUGGUGUGGCGGGAAAUCAGGACUGUUACUUUGAAAAAAUUAGAGUGUUUAAAGCAGGCUCGCGCUUGAAUACAUUAGCAUGGAAUAAUGAAAUAGGACGUUUGAUCCUAUUUUGUUGGCUUCUAGGAUCGACGUAAUGAUUAAUAGGGAUAGUUGGGGGCAUUAGUAUUCAAUUGUCAGAGGUGAAAUUCUUGGAUUUAUUGAAGACUAACUACUGCGAAAGCAUUUGCCAAGGAUGUUUUCAUUAAUCAAGAACGAAAGUUAGGGGAUCGAAGACGAUCAGAUACCGUCGUAGUCUUAACCAUAAACUAUGCCGACUAGGGAUCGGAUGAUGUUAAUUUUUUAAUGACUCAUUCGGCGCCUUACGGGAAACCAAAGUGUUUGGGUUC